AAAAGUCUCAGUUCUUACAACUGGAAAAUGAAAGAGCUGGCCCAGAUCUAACUGAGAGUCUCUUCCACCUCAAAGGACUCUCAGAGACCACUGAGUGCAGCCUUUGCCAGAACCAGAAUCCCUGCCAAGAAUUCUUGCCAACAUAAUCAUCCAGCCUUCACGUGGACUUCAGCAACUCAUGAAGAAAGGCCUGUAUCAAUGGAGAGAAUAUCCACACUGAAGAAAUGAGUAUUGAAAGUAGCUCCUCCACAUCUGACAUUGCUGAAUUAAAAUAAAUGCUUGUGCAAUAUACCAAAAAUAAAUAAAUAAAUAAAA